UCGUAGUCAUCAACGGAACUGCGGAAUUGCCAAGAUCAAUUUCUUGACAAGAUAUCGUGAUUUCAAGAAUAUUUUCGGUUGCUUGACGAAUUUCUGUCCGUCAAAAUUUUUUCAACAUUUUUUUAACAUUUUUUUCUUUGCGAAAUUAAACUAAAUCUCGGAAUCCGUUAUAACUUGUUAACCCUCGAACGAUCAAUUAAUUUGUAAUGAUUCAACCGAUCUUGGAUUAUUAUAUAUAUAUAUUGGAUCCUCUUACUAUUUUAAUUUUAAUUACGUUUCACAAUUAAACACAACGAAAUAUUACUCAAAUAAAAAAAAAUCGGAAUUUCUUAAGAGACAACAUUAUUCCAUUUUGCAAAAAAUAUUCAUUUAUUGCAAUGUAAGACCAUGUUAUACAUUUAUGUAGAUGAUCUUUCAUCAUCUAUAAUCAAUAAUUAUUUGUACACAACUAACGUCGUUAAUUAAAGAAAUUAUCGCGAA